GAAGAUUUUAUUAAUUGCAGGGAAGAAGGAUGCGAUACGAGAGAUUUCUCAAGUUUUCAUUUCCUUUGGUUUCUUCUUCCUUUCCUAUGAACCAUCGAAUUUACACCGAAGAUUAGCACGCAAAAACGAUAUUUUGAGAAUUUAACAGGAGAAUUCUGAAUUUCACAUUGGAUUCUCGACUUACUUCGUCAAGAAAGUAAUAGAACUACUGUCAGUCAAAUUGUUUCUUCGGUACAGCUUGUUUCUUAAAUUGAGUUAACAGUUUCGCGAUUGUCAAAUUUCUUCAAGUUGGACUUAUCAGCAACGAAAAAGACGCGCGAACGAUAUUCUCGGUGUCUAUCGCUCAUGGUCAACGCGUAUACCGCGAUACGGCCAGUAAUAAGUUUAAGAAAGGUUUACAUUUGGCUCUCCCUAAGAAAUUCUCCAAUGAUGCGAUACGAUCGAAAACACAAGAGCGUUAAGAAACGUAAAUCUUCUACUCCUGAUUCCAUGGGAACGAAUCGGGUCGCAAGAAAAUUAGUAGCAACUGUUUCGUUUUAAAACAAACCAUGUUUUCUAAGCAUGUGCUUAUCGUGUUACACGCUGCUGAAAUCUACUUUUUUGUAACCCGAGUAUCGCUAAACAGCUUCCUAUUACAAUUUUCACAUCAACACGUUUCAAAUACAUAAGUGAUCGAUUUCGUAAGCAACGAACGGAUUAUUUUAGGAGAAAUUUUAUAAUUCACUCUGCGAACGUUUAUACGCCAAUCUGGCUGCUCUUUCAAUCAGCAGAAAGGUUUUUCGAUGUUGGGAAUACUUUUUACCGUGUUCUUCGAUCAUAAGGAGGGCAGACAAGUACUUGUGCCUUUUGUCGCAUUGGUUCGAGUUAAUUUGAAUUUCAUAGCAGCCAUCGCAUAAAACGAUAUAGUGUGUACGCGUUGGAAGACCGUACGAGGAAUCUGACCAAUUUUCCGUGUACCACCUACACGCCGGUGGGUCAAAAUACUCGUAUGAUUCAUUCGUCUAGACAGGUAUAAGUAUAGUACCACAGGGAAAAGGGGUUGGUAGAAGGGAAGAGAAGAUAGUGGAGGCGGGGGCUAGUGCGUGCACCGUAAUAAAGGCGUUUCUUCGUCGAAAAUGCAGAACGAUUUACCGGAAAGCAGGACCGUCGGCUAGCCAGACUGUGAUGAAUGGACAGGCUCACGCAUUACUUGGUAGUCACGGUGAUUUAUUCCAACACCUCCGGCUAUUACAUUUACAGUACUCGGAUUACAAUCAUCUCGUAAGGUAUUCCUUGAUUAUAUUCUAACAAGCGUUUCCAUCUCUACGAUACUCGAUGAUACUUUACGAACUGUAUGAUACUUGAAAAUCAAGAAUCUCCAAGUUUAUCCGAGCUGAUCGGAGAACGAGAUAGUUCGGGUAAUCGAGCAGCUCCAAUUAUCUCGCUAGCUGUCCGUUCUAGUUUUUCUUAUUAGUUGGGAUAAUAGGAGUUGGCCCGCCUUGCGCUAUAAUUCAUCGAUCAAUAAUAUCGGUGAAUCGACAGGUUACGAGCUUUCCUUCGCGAUAUGAAUCGCGCGCCGUUUUCAGUCGGUGUGACGCGAUCGUUGCUGAUAAAUCGAAUUCGUUGAAAUUCGACGGCCGUAGAACCGUGGCCAAAGAAGCAAAGAUAAAACGCGUUCCCUACACCUAAACUUUUCGAUAUACAAGCAAGAUCAAGGUUUAGCUGCGACGAGUAAGUGUAAAGUUUUGAAAUCGAUCGACUCGAUAACCUUAGAAUGUCCACGAUAUGAUACCUUCACUGUAUCGACUUUUCUCCAAGCCCGAGACUGUGUGAAAUAUAGCGAAAUGUAGCGUAAUACAGCGAGAACCUUGUAUUUGUUGAGAGCGUUCAUUGAGACGGCAUGUUUAUUCACGAGACGGAGUAGAAAACAAGCAGUGCGUCGGAACGAAACGUAUCUGGCGAUAAACCAGUUGCAAUGUACACAGCGGAAAACGAUACAGCAUUACGGUUUCGUCCUCGAAAAAAUCUACAACGUCCUAAUAGAUUUUCAUUGUAGAAGAUUCCAUUAUAGAAUUCUAAUUUUUGUUUAAACGCGAUGAUAGGAGAACGUUGAAUGGAAAGGAAACUGCAAUGCACGCCACGAUGACGUUGAAUUUAUACAAAUAUUAUAUACAUUUUACGCAAUGUUCCUCUGUAUAAUUAAAUUUUAUAUUUCUUUAUUUCAACGGAAUACGAUUCCCAUUGGGGUACAAUAGAGAACAAUAUAUACGCGAUACACGUUCAUACGUAUUAGGUAAUAAAAUGCAAUGUAUUAGCUUCGUUUUAAAUAUAGACGUUUCACAUACGACAACGUCGUUACAACGAACGAGCAUUCGUGUUGAAGAUGUUGAAACGUCUGUAACGUAGAUGCGGAGAUGAUUGGAGCUGUCGGUUGGGUAGCAACCAGGGAGGCUUACGGCACAGAGCAGAAAGGAAAGAUUUCCAAAAGUAGCUCGUUAGCGCGAUACACCAGGGAGAAAAAAGUGAAGGAGCAGGGAUCGUUUUCUCGUCCCACCUGCUGUUAUUGGUUUUGUUGGUACAAGUGUAGCUGCGAUAGUACUGUGACAGCUCUCGAUCAGCCCUCACAAUGAUAGACGACAGCAGCACCGUGUGUGGUAUGUCACAGGGAACAUGUGGACCACAUUCUACGAUGGGUUUACGCGUUUCUGUAAUCUCUUUGCCACUUGAAUCUUAUUUUCUUCGCGUUUCUCCGAACGUUCGUCACGAUCACUUUCAACUAAUCUCAACUCGAUCUUGUUCGUGUCGAGAACGUGCAAUGUUCACGUGUUUGUUGAAACGUAGAGUGCCAAUAAAAGUUGAAAAUGUUAUUCGUAACGUACGCGAUAUAUAUACGUAAAUAUAUAUGUACGUAAAAGUACGAGGUAGUUUGAGAUAAAUAAAGACGACGAGAGAGAGAACCGAUGCAGGUAAAAUAAUUUUUUAAAGUUAGUCCGACGUGUAGAGCGCGGUAUGAUCGUGAUGCGGAGGAACGAGUGGUUGUAGAGAUCUUCGUAAACCAAGUUGAUUCUGUGGUUCCCUGAGGGUCGAAAUCAAGAUAAAUAUUAUUAUUAUUAUUAUAUGUAUAAAAAUUUUCUAUGGCAAAUGGCCAAAUACUUUUAUCAGCUAGACAGUUGUAUUACUUAUAGGAUAACGUAAUAAAAAUAUAGCGGCACAUGAGUCAACGGAAAAUUCGAAUCGGAAGAGACUCAUAUUGUUGUGCCUUGGAGUGUUAACGUUGUUUUGGUUUGUUAGGUUCAAAGGUAAACGAACUCCGGACAAAAUAUUAUCGCUGUUAUUUGUAUCGUCAAUCGGAGUCAUAUUCGAACUUUAUAUAAUACCACCGGUCAAUACGAAUAGAUAACGUACUCUCUAGGAAAAUCAUUAUAACGGAUCCUGAUAGCGAGUUAUUACAGCGAAUCAUAUAAUAUAUAUGUCAUAUAAUAUAUAUGUCAUAUAGUACGAAUAUCGAGCGUAAAAAGUUGAACAGUAGCAUUGAGCGAGCGACGAUUACGACCGGCCGUACACUAUCUCUGUACUUGUAUUUGAAGCGAUUUUAAUAUACACGAACUGUUACAAUUUUAUCUCUUUAAUAAACCAAGACGUAUAAAAAUCCGCU
rnacentral:lncRNA from 1 species